rnacentral:rRNA from 1 species
UACGUAGGGCGCGAGCGUUGUCCGGAAUUAUUGGGCGUAAAGAGCUCGUAGGCGGUUUGUCGCGUCGGUUGUGAAAACCCAAGGCUCAACCUUGGGCCUGCAAUCGAUACGGGCAGACUAGAGUACUGCAGGGGAGACUGGAAUUCCUGGUGUAGCGGUGGAAUGCGCAGAUAUCAGGAGGAACACCGGUGGCGAAGGCGGGUCUCUGGGCAGUAACUGACGCUGAGGAGCGAAAGCAUGGGGAGCGAACAGG